AUUGAACGCUGGCGGCAGGCCUAACACAUGCAAGUCGAGCGGAGCGGCGGACGGGUGAGUAAUGUCUGGGAAACUGCCUGAUGGAGGGGGAUAACUACUGGAAACGGUAGCUAAUACCGCAUACUAUCAGAUGAGCCCAGGUCGGAUUAGCUAGUUGGUGGGGUAAAGGCUUACCAAGGCGACGAUCCGUAGCUGGUCUGAGAGGAUGAUCAGCCACACUGGAACUGAGACACGGUCCAGACUCCUACGGGAGGCAGCAGUGGGGAAUAUUGGACAAUGGGCGCAAGCCUGAUCCAGCCAUGCCGCGUGUGUGAAGAAGGUCUUCGGAUUGUAAAGCACUUUCAGUUGGGAGGCGUUACCAACAGAAUAAGCACCGGCUAACUUCGUGCCAGCAGCCGCGGUAAUUC
rnacentral:rRNA from 1 species